CAGACUUGUGAAGGUGGGGCCAGCCCCAUGUAAAUCCUAUGGACUGAGAGCUGGGGAGGGAGACAGGGUAUGAGGAGCUAAGAAAUGGCUUCCUUACUUUCUCUUCCUGAAUCGAGAACAAUUAAAAGAGGAUGGACACAGGAUUACGCAUAAGGGGUGCAAACUACCACAAGUUUGAAGAAUGUAGCUUCAUUGUUCAGCUGCAAAGAACUUCUAAGUACUAAAAUCUCAGAAACAGACAGCCCAUCACAGGCAGAACUGGAGUGCAUUCCCAUUGCUCAUAACCAAGGAACACCAUGGGAGCCCAGUCCAGAUGGAAAAUUAUGACGUCUAGUGAGCCCUGUGUCAAGGCCGUGCUGGGUCAAGGACAUUCUAUGGUGAGCAAAGUAGGCACCAUCCCACCUCAAUGAUCUCAUAGUCCAACAGAGAAGAGGAGUUAUGCAAAUAGGCCCGAUUAACAAAUUGGAACAUGUACUAUGAAGGAAACAAAAUUAUGUGGAACAAAAAGGAAUAACUGAAGAUAUCUCAUUUGAAGAUGAGCUACAUCCAGCUCCCUCUGUGUGGAUCUUGGGACAACCAAAGGAAGCAGAAAGGAUUCACUCACAAGCCACAUCCCAGGGCAAGCAGCCGGACCUUAAUCAAGACACGUGGCCCUCUCCUUCCCUUCUCUCCUCAGCAGUUUUUCAUAAAUGUUAAAGGGAGUAUGAAUCCAAGAUGGAGACGCCCCAGCUCCAGUCCCCAGGCGAUGUUGAAGUUGCCGUCAUCGGAAGCAGUCACAGAGGACACUCGCCUCGCUGGGGAAGGAGGAACCCACUCAAGGAAGAGCCUGACAAGAAGAUGCUUGGGAGUGCUUGACAGUGAAUGA
rnacentral:lncRNA from 13 species